rnacentral:rRNA from 1 species
CACGGAGUUAGCCGAUCCUUAUUCUCACGGUACAUUCAGCCCGGUAUACAUACCGGGGUUAUUCCCGUGCAAAAGCAGUUUACAACCCGUGGGGCCGUCUUCCUGCACGCGGCAUGGCUGGUUCAGGGUUCCCCCCAUUGACCAAUAUUCCUUACUGCUGCCUCCCGUAGGAGUCUGGUCCGUGUCUCAGUACCAGUGUGGGGGUUUCUCCUCUCAGAGCCCCUAGACAUCGUCGCCUUGGUGGGCCGUUACCCCGCCAACCAGCUAAUGUCACGCGAGCCCAUCCGUCCCCUAUGAAUAUUUAAAUGAAGGCCCAUGCGGACCUGCAUUCUCAUGCGGUAUUAAUCCGGAUUUCUCCGGGCUAUCCCCCGUGGGACGGGCAGGUUGCUCACGCGUUACGCACCCGUGCGCCACUCUCACGGGGACCGAAGCCCCCGAUCCCGUUCGACUUGCAUGUAUUAGGCCUGCCGCUAGCGUUCAUCCUGAGCCAGGAUCAAACCUC